rnacentral:rRNA from 1 species
UACGUAGGGGGCUAGCGUUGUCCGGAUUUAUUGGGCGUAAAGAGCUCGUAGGCGGUUCGGUUAGUCGGAUGUGAAAUCUCCAGGCUCAACUUGGAGGGGUCAUCCGAUACUGCCGUGACUGGAGUUCGGUAGAGGAGUGUGGAAUUCCUGGUGGAGCGGUGAAAUGCGCAGAGAUCAGGAGGAACACCCGUGGCGAAGGCGGCACUCUGGGCCGAUACUGACGCUGAGGAGCGAAAGCGUGGGGAGCGAACAGG